rnacentral:misc_RNA from 1 species
UUGAAAUAAAUCUGAUGAGUUGCUGCUGGUUCUCUCGGGAACAGGUGCACACUUGUCAUCUUUAUAUCACCACCUGUGCACCUUUUGUAGACCUGGAUAUCCUUCUGAAUGCCUGGCGUUUGGGUUUGGGGAUUGACUUUUUUGUCUUUUCUUACACUUCCAGGUCUAUGUUUUCAUCAUUAUACCCCAAUGUAUGUUACAGAAUGUAAUAAAGGGCCUUUGCCUAUAAUUUUUA